ensembl:ribozyme RNaseP_nuc Nuclear RNase P
GUGGGCGGAAGCUCAUUGUAGAGGUCACAUGCUGAGUGCUCGUCACUCCACCAAUCACCUCGGGGAAGGUCUGAGAC